CCUACGGGUGGCAGCAGUGAGGAAUAUUGGUCAAUGGACGAGAGUCUGAACCAGCCAAGUAGCGUGAAGGAUGACUGCCCUAUGGGUUGUCAACUUCUUUUAUAAAGGAAUAAAGUGAGGCACGUGUGCCUUUUUGUAUGUACUUUAUGAAUAAGGAUCGGCUAACUCUGUGCCAGCAGCCGCGGUAAUACGGAGGAUCCGAGCGUUAUCCGGAUUUAUUGGGUUUAAAGGGAGCGUAGAUGGGUUGUUAAGUCAGUUGUGAAAGUUUGCGGCUCAACCGUAAAAUUGCAAUUGAUACUGGCAGGCUUGAGUACAGUUGAGGUAAGCGGAAUUCGUGGUGUAGCGGUGAAAUGCUUAGAUAUCACGAAGAACUCCGAUGGCGAAGGCAGUUCACUGGACUGCAACUGACACUGAGGCUCGAAAGUGUGGGUAUCAAACAGGAUUAGAUACCCCUGUAGUC
rnacentral:rRNA from 1 species